rnacentral:pre_miRNA from 1 species
GUUAUACUCCCUCCAUCCGGAAAUACUUGUCAUAGGAAUGGAUGUAUCUAGAUGUAUUUUAGUUCCAGAUACAUCCAUUUUUAUACAUUUGUGCGACAAGUAAUUCCGGACGGAGGGAGUAUAUC